UUAAGUGGCUUGACUGGGUUUGCUCCCCAGUUCGAGUCGCAGGGAAGUCGCCUUUGUUGGGAGAACAUGUGCCUCCCGGUUCGAGCGGGGACUUCUAGUCUGGGUUGUGGUACGGGCUUAAAGGUGCCUCCCACAGUUGGGGCCCUCCCCAGGAUACCUCGUGAUUAAUAUCAAAAAAAAAAUAAAUAAGAAGUAAAAUCUCAUUUAAAGAGUUUUUUUGAUGAUAUUCUUA
rnacentral:lncRNA from 1 species